rnacentral:rRNA from 1 species
GCUUGCUAUGGUAUAACUUAGUGGCAGACGGGUGAGUAAUAUAUAGGAAUCUACCUAGUAGUACGGAAUAAUUGUUGGAAACGGCAACUAAUACCGUAUACGCCCUACGGGGGAAAAAUUUAUUGCUAUUAGAUGAGCCUAUAUUAGAUUAGCUAGUUGGUGGGGUAAUAGCCUACCAAGGCAAUGAUCUAUAGCUGGUCCGAGAGGAUGAUCAGCCACACUGGGACUGAGACACGGCCCAG